ensembl:lncRNA
AAAGACAAAGAAAAAAAAAAUAGUCUUCCGAUUUCGAGUGUAAUGUUAUAGUGAUAAAAUAAACAUCUGACAGCCUGGCCAAUGGCUAUUUGAAAAGUAUGUUAAUAUAAUAUCAAACAAAAACUUUUGCAGACCUGUCCUCCUUUAUUAAUGAUGGACUCACAGUCUAAUAUAAACACCACCCCUUUACAGCAGAUGGGUAAUAUAUGUAAUUGCAUGAAACAGACACGUUCCCUAAUCUUUAUCAUUCAUCUCCAUGGAGAAUCAUAGUGCAUCUGGUCUCUUGGAAUGUGUUUCUAUCUUCUUGAGGGACUCAGUCACUCCGCUCUGACUUGAGGUCUGUUGAUGUUGAAUGUGCCCCCUCUCCUCUCAGUUCUCAAACUCAGAUUCACUAUCGCUAGGCAGUCCUCCUAAUCUCUCCACCGCCCCUUGAAAUAUGUCCAUUAACUUCCCCUUAUUCACUCUCAGUCUGUCCUUCAUUCUUUUGAUCUCUCUGUUCUUCUCCUCCAUCUGUUUGUUGAACUCGCCCUCCAUCUUGGUGAUGCUGAUGAUUUUCUGUAGGCAAGUUAGGAUGAUCUUCAUGAGGUUUCUCUCUGCUGCUCCCUCCCAGACCUCUAUGUCAUAGCUCUCUCUCAUCUCCUCCAUCUCCUUUCUGUGACUCUCCUCCAUCUCCUCUGUCUCUCUCCACUCCCUUUUUCUUUUAUUUCUCACACUGGUCAGCUUUCUCUCCAGCUCCUCCAUCUCUUUCUUCUCCACUUUUCUCUUAUUUGUCACUCUGGUCAGCCUUCUCUCCAGCUCCUCUUUCUCUGUUAUCGCUUCAUUCUUUUUCUCUUCAUCCCUCUCUUCCUCCAUCUUGCUCUCCAUUACUGUUGUUCUCUCAUUUAAUAUUCUAAUUUCUCCUUCAAGCUGCUGAAUAUCACUCUCCCGCUUUUCAUCAAGUUCCUUUCUUUUCUCUAUCUCCUCCAUCAGUUUCCUCUCCUCCACCUCUUGUUCUUGCUGUAUCCUUCUCUCUAUCUUCCUGACCUGUUUCUCUGCCUCCUGGUAGGUCUGACUGCUGUAGAAUCU